CAAUAGCGUAUAUUAAUGUUGUUGCAGUUAAAAAGCUCGUAGUUGGAUUUCUGAUGGGAGCCCUGGUCACUCUAACGAGUGUACUGAUGUGGCGUCCUGUCGUUUCAUGGGGAUGCUUGCUGGUAUUAAGUUAUCGGCUUGUGGAUCCAUGUCGUUUACUGUGAAAAAAUUAGAGUGUUCAAAGCAGGCCAUCGCUGUGAAUACAUUAGCAUGGAAUAAUAAGAUAGGACUGUGGUGCUAUUUUGUUGGUUUGCGUACUACGGUAAUGAUUAAUAGGGAUAGUUGGGGGUAUUCAUAUUCAAUUGUCAGAGGUGAAAUUCUUGGAUUUAUGGAAGAUGAACUACUGCGAAAGCAUUUACCAAGGAUGUUUUCAUUA
rnacentral:rRNA from 1 species